AUCGAACGCUGGCGGCAUGCCUUACACAUGCAAGUCGAACGGCAGCACGGGAGCAAUCCUGGUGGCGAGUGGCGAACGGGUGAGUAAUAUAUCGGAACGUGCCCAGUAGUGGGGGAUAACUGCUCGAAAGAGCAGCUAAUACCGCAUACGACCUGAGGGUGAAAGGGGGGGAUCGCAAGACCUCUCGCUAUUGGAGCGGCCGAUAUCAGAUUAGCUAGUUGGUGGGGUAAAGGCCUACCAAGGCAACGAUCUGUAGUUGGUCUGAGAGGACGACCAGCCACACUGGGACUGAGACACGGCCCAGACUCCUACGGGAGGCAGCAGUGGGGAAUUUUGGACAAUGGGCGCAAGCCUGAUCUAGCAAUGCCGCGUGCAGGAAGAAGGCCUUCGGGUUGUAAACUGCUUUUGUCAGGGAAGAAAUCCUCUAGGUUAAUACCCUUGGGGGGAUGACGGUACCUGAAGAAUAAGCACCGGCUAACUACGUGCCAGCCGCCGCGGUAAAAC
rnacentral:rRNA from 1 species